GACGAACGCUGGCGGCGUGCUUAACACAUGCAAGUCGAACGAAGAGCGAUGGAAGCUUGCUUCUAUCAAUCUUAGUGGCGAACGGGUGAGUAACGCGUAAUCAACCUGCCCUUCAGAGGGGGACAACAGUUGGAAACGACUGCUAAUACCGCAUACGAUCUAAUCUCGGCAUCGAGGAUAGAUGAAAGGUGGCCUCUACAUGUAAGCUAUCACUGAAGGAGGGGAUUGCGUCUGAUUAGCUAGUUGGAGGGGUAACGGCCCAACAAGGCGAUGAUCAGUAGCCGGUCUGAGGGGAUGAACGGCCAAAUUGGGAAUGAGACACGGCCCAGACUCCUAAGGGAGGCAGCAGUGGGGAAUCUUCCGCAAUGGACGAAAGUCUGACGGAGCAACGCCGCGUGAGUGAUGACGGCCUUCGGGUUGUAAAGCUCUGUUAAUCGGGACGAAAGGCCUUCUUGCGAACAGUUAGAAGGAUUGACGGUACCGGAAUAGAAAGCCACGGCUAACUACGUG
rnacentral:rRNA from 1 species